rnacentral:rRNA from 1 species
UACGGAGGGUGCGAGCGUUGUCCGGAAUCACUGGGCGUAAAGGGCGCGUAGGCGGCAUGCCAAGCGUGUGGUGAAAGCCCGGGGCUCAACCCCGGGUCGGCCGUGCGGACUGGCGUGCUCGAGCACUGUAGGGGCGGGUGGAAUUCCGGGUGUAGCGGUGGAAUGCGUAGAGAUCCGGAAGAACACCGGUGGCGAAGGCGGCUACCUGGACAAAUACUGACGCUGAGGCGCGAAAGCGUGGGGAGCAAACAGG